UAAAAUGUGUUGAUUGAAGAACCUAUGG
rnacentral:piRNA from 1 species